AUUGAACGCUGGCGGCAGGCUUAACACAUGCAAGUCGAGCGGGGAAGGUUGCUUCGGUAACUGACCUAGCGGCGGACGGGUGAGUAAUGCUUAGGAAUCUGCCUAUUAGUGGGGGACAACAUUCCGAAAGGAAUGCUAAUACCGCAUACGCCCUACGGGGGAAAGCAGGGGAUCUUCGGACCUUGCGCUAAUAGAUGAGCCUAAGUCGGAUUAGCUAGUUGGUGGGGUAAAGGCCUACCAAGGCGACGAUCUGUAGCGGGUCUGAGAGGAUGGGCCGCCACACUGGGACUGAGACACGGCCCAGACUCCUACGGGAGGCAGCAGUGGGGAAUAUUUGACAAUGGGCGCAAGCCUGAUCCAGCCAUGCCGCGUGUGUGAAGAAGGCCUUUUGGUUGUAAAGCACUUUAAGCGAGGAGGAGGCUCCUUUAGUUAAUACCUAAAGAGAGUGGACGUUACUCGCAGAAUAAGCACCGGCUAACUCUGUGCCAGCCGCCGCGGUAAUAC
rnacentral:rRNA from 1 species